GUUGCCAAUCAGGGAAGCUCUCUGAGGCUUGGAGUCCAGGAAUUGUGUUGAAGGUCACUUGUGUAGGCCUGGAGUGCCCACAUGACUGACCUUAGCCACUCGGACUCCAGGUCCUCCACCCUCCAGAGGUCAAGCUGAUAUGGGC
ensembl:miRNA